GCAAGGAGAGGAGGGAGGACAGAGAGAUGGAUAAGAAUUAAGAAAAGAACUUCCCUUUUUAUCCAAUUCUCCCCCAGCCAUUGUUAACCAAAGUGGUGGCAUACAAGGUGGUAAAAAGAAGACUCAACGCCAAGCCUGAAGCUCUUUGAAAUUUAAAGUGGAGUGAGGAGAGAAGGAACUAGGAGACUGAGAAAGCAGAGGCCAGUGAUGUAGACGGAAAAUAGGAGUGUGGAAUCACAGAAGCCAAGGGAAGAAAGUGAUU